CCUACGGGAGGCUGCAGUGGGAAUAUUUGGCAAUGGGCGCAAGCCUGACCCAGCAACGCCGCGGGAAGGGAGGAGGCUUUCGGGUUGUAAACUUCUUUUAAGAGGGAAGGGCAGGAGACGGUACCUUUUGAAUAAGCCACGGCGAACUACGUGCCAGCAGCCGCGGUAAUACGUAGGGGGCAAGCGUUGUCCGGAUUUACUGGGUGUAAAGGGCGUGUAGCCGGGCUGACAAGUCAGAUGUGAAAUCCCGGGGCUCAACCACGGAACUGCAUUUGAAACUGUCGGUCUUGAGUAUCGGAGAGGCAGGCGGAAUUCCUAGUGUAGCGGUGAAAUGCGUAGAUAUUAGGAGGAACACCAGUGGCGAAGGCGGCCUGCUGGACGACAACUGACGGUGAGGCGCGAAAGCGUGGGGAGCAAACAGGAUUAGAUACCCUUGUAGUC
rnacentral:rRNA from 1 species